rnacentral:rRNA from 1 species
GGUUAAGCGACUAAGCGUACACGGUGGAUGCCCUGGCAGUCAGAGGCGAUGAAGGGCGUGCUAAUCUGCGAUAAGCGCCGGUAAGGUGAUAUGAACCGUUAUAACCGGCGAUACCCGAAUGGGGAAACCCAGUGUGACUCGUCACACUAUCAUUAACUGAAUCCAUAGGUUAAUGAGGCGAACCGGGGGAACUGAAACAUCUAAGUACCCCGAGGAAAAGAAAUCAACCGAGAUUCCCCCAGUAGCGGCGAGCGAACGGGGAGGAGCCCAGAGCCUGAAUCAGCAUGUGUGUUAGUGGAAGCGUCUGGAAAGGCGCGCGAUACAGGGUGACAGCCCCGUACACAAAAGCGCAUGUGCUGUGAGCUCGAUGAGUAGGGCGGGACACGUGGUAUCCUGUCUGAAUAUGGGGGGACCAUCCUCCAAGGCUAAAUACUCCUGACUGACCGAUAGUGAACCAGUACCGUGAGGGAAAGGCGAAAAGAACCCCGGCGAGGGGAGUGAAAAAGAACCUGAAACCGUGUACGUACAAGCAGUGGGAGCACCCUUUGGGGUGUGACUGCGUACCUUUUGUAUAAUGGGUCAGCGACUUAUAUUCUGUAGCAAGGUUAACCGAAUAGGGGAGCCGGAGGGAAACCGAGUCUUAAUUGGGCGUUAAGUUGCAGGGUAUAGACCCGAAACCCGGUGAUCUAGCCAUGGGCAGGUUGAAGGUUGGGUAACACUAACUGGAGGACCGAACCGACU